AACAGAAACAUUUCACUUUUGACUCAUGUAGCUGACAGUCCUAAUCUUAUCUCUGACUCAUCGACAGACCCAGGUCAGCAGUCUAGAAUGCACAGUCCAAUAUCUGCAGACCAAGGACUUCCUUUGAAUCCUGAUGACAAGGAUGUGGUGUAUUCUGAGGUCUGGAAUCAAGAGCAAAAAAUAGAAGAUGCAGAUAAUCACAUAUGGAGACUACCAUCAAACCAGGAUUUAUCUGUUGUCUACACUGAAGUGAAAAGAGAACAACUUCUGGAGGAGAAAGAUGAUGUGAUGAAGGACCAUGACAUAGACAAUUACAAGAACAUCAAACUUCAUUCCUGAACCUGACUCUACAUGCUCUCUAGGGAAGUCAAGAGCUUCUUGUCUCUGUACAGAUGGGGAAAUGGAAGAAAGGGCAAGAAAGCGAGAGGAUUUGGGGGCUCCUGAGAGACAAAGGACCAAGUUAGAGGAAUUUUUCCUUCCAGGGCUCUGCUAUCACCCAUAUAACACAGAGAUAACACAGAGUUUCUUUUUCUCACUUCGAUGGAACAAGAUAGGAAAGGCUACAAUAGUCUCUCUCUUUGAGAUUGUUCCAUUUUAUUAUUUAUUACCAAAAAUAAUUAUUCACAUUUGUAAAGAACAUUAAGAUUCUCAUCUUUUGCAUCAGUAUAUUUAUGGUUUUAUUUUGGGUUUUUGGUUACUUAUGACUUUGCUCUUACAAUGACCAAUAUGGAAGUGUGUUUUGCAUGACAAUAAAAUUUUUUAAGAAUUUUUUUAAGAUUAUUAA
rnacentral:lncRNA from 1 species